CAACCCUCGACCUCCCCUUGGGGAGGCCGGCCGUUGGAGAUCGGCAGCGACUGCCGGCUCCCAAAUCCAGUGGCGACCCGCCGCGGGGACCCCUGCGUAGUAACUAACACUCGCACCGGAAACCAGACGUGUCACGCCGUAAAACCCCCAACUUUCUGAACG
rnacentral:misc_RNA from 1 species